AUUGAACGCUGGCGGCAGGCCUAACACAUGCAAGUCGAGCGGAUGGAGGGAGCUUGCUCCUGGAUUCAGCGGCGGACGGGUGAGUAAUGCCUAGGAAUCUGCCUGGUAGUGGGGGAUAACGUCCGGAAACGGGCGCUAAUACCGCAUACGUCCUGAGGGAGGAAGUGGGGGAUCUUCGGACCUCACGCUAUCAGAUGAGCCUAGGUCGGAUUAGCUAGUUGGUGGGGUAAAGGCCUACCAAGGCGACGAUCCGUAACUGGUCUGAGAGGAUGAUCAGUCACACUGGAACUGAGACACGGUCCAGACUCCUACGGGAGGCAGCAGUGGGGAAUAUUGGACAAUGGGCGAAAGCCUGAUCCAGCCAUGCCGCGUGUGUGAAGAAGGUCUUCGGAUUGUAAAGCACUUUAAGUUGGGAGGAAGGGCAGUAAGUUAAUACCUUGCUGUUUUGACGUUACCAACAGAAUAAGCACCGGCUAACUUCGUG
rnacentral:rRNA from 1 species